ensembl:snRNA U6 U6 spliceosomal RNA
UUGCUUCGUUUGGCAGCACAUAUACUAAAAUUGGAAGGAUACUGAGAAGAAUAGCAUGGCCUCUGUGCAAGGAUGACAGGCAAAUUCAUAAAGCAUUCCAUAUAAAA